UACGUAGGAGGCAAGCGUUAUCCGGAAUUAUUGGGCGUAAAGAGCGCGCAGGUGGUUAAUUAAGUCUGAUGUGAAAGCCCACGGCUCAACCGUGGAGGGUCAUUGGAAACUGGUUAACUUGAGUGCAGAAGAGGGUAGUGGAAUUCCAUGUGUAGCGGUGAAAUGCGUAGAGAUAUGGAGGAACACCAGUGGCGAAGGUGGCUACCGGGUCUGUAAUUGACACUGAGGCGCGAAAGCGUGGGGAGCAAACAGG
rnacentral:rRNA from 1 species